CAGGGGCUUGGGGCAGUCUACCAUGCAGUCGAGCGGAUGAGGGAGCUUGCUCCUGGAUUCAGCGGCGGACGGGUGAGUAAUGCCUAGGAAUCUGCCUGGUAGUGGGGGAUAACGUCCGGAAACGGGCGCUAAUACCGCAUACGUCCUGAGGGAGAAAGUGGGGGAUCUUCGGACCUCACGCUAUCAGAUGAGCCUAGGUCGGAUUAGCUAGUUGGUGGGGUAAAGGCCUACCAAGGCGACGAUCCGUAACUGGUCUGAGAGGAUGAUCAGUCACACUGGAACUGAGACACGGUCCAGACUCCUACGGGAGGCAGCAGUGGGGAAUAUUGGACAAUGGGCGAAAGCCUGAUCCAGCCAUGCCGCGUGUGUGAAGAAGGUCUUCGGAUUGUAAAGCACUUUAAGUUGGGAGGAAGGGCAGUAAGUUAAUACCUUGCUGUUUUGACGUUACCAACAGAAUAAGCACCGGCUAACUUCGUGCCAGCAGCCGCGGUAAUACGAAGGGUGCAAGCGUUCAUCGGAAUUACUGGGCGUAAAGCGCGCGUAGGUGGUUCAGCAAGUUGGAUGUGAAAUCCCCGGGCUCAACCUGGGAACUGCAUCCAAAACUACUGAGCUAGAGUACGGUAGAGGGUGGUGGAAUUUCCUGUGUAGCGGUGAAAUGCGUAGAUAUAGGAAGGAACACCAUUGCCGUAUGCGCCCCCAUGUACUGAAACUGACACUGAAGUGCGAAAGCGUGGGGCGCACACAAGCUUAGAUACCACUGGUAGUCCACGCAAGUAACGAUGUCAACUAAUCGUU
rnacentral:rRNA from 1 species